AAAGGAAUGAAAAGAAGAGACUUGUUUGUAAUCAAGAAAAGGAAUGGAAAAUAGAGACUGUGAAAAUUCAGAGGCGACUUCAGGAUGCAGUAGGAGGCUGCAAGGGACAGCUCAGGGCUCUCCUCCCCUCUACGCUCCCCUGGGACUCUUCAGGGGGUGGCUGCAGACCAAAUACUUCUGCUGGGAGCACCAGUCACUGCUGACCCCAGCCAGGUCGAUGUAGGCACAUUGGCCGUUGCCCUGGAUAUCGAACCUGCACAGAGUAGCAGAAGGAGAAGUCAAGGGGCUGAGCAUCUCCCACAUAAGCAAACGGUGCUGGAAGGAGGAGGAAGAAUCCUUUCCAGCAGACAAUGACCCCCAUGCAAAGCUAAAUCUGCCCCCUUCCAUGAAGGAAGGAAUAUUUUUGGUUGAUUAAUCCCAUAUGGGUUCAUCCAGGGAUGCCCUCUGCAUCCACAAGCUGCUUCCUAAGGACCAAGCAUUACAAGAAGGGGUGGUUAAUUGCUCCCAGCCCAUUAAAAAAUGCGAGGAAAAGAAGCCAUGACGUACCGGUUGUUGAAAAGAGACCCAUUGCACCAUCUCCAGGGGUCGGAUCCCUCCUGAUGCAGACCGACCCAGUAAUGCAAGGCACGCCCGUAGCGCAAUAGGAAGCCCUGGAAAGCAAAGAAGAAAUGUUGUGCCCAUCUUCACCUUACAUCCUCCAAGGAACCCCACAGCUGCUUCCCAAAAAGCCACCCCAGCACCCGGCAAACCCCUCAUUUUACCAAGUCCUCCUCGCUGUCGAUGGUGGCCAGCUGGGCUCCUAGGGAGAGGCAGACGUUCUGGCUCUCGUUCCAGUUGGUCUCGUUCUCCACAAAGUGGAAGCAUUUCUCCCUGAACCCGAUGCCGUUUCCUGAGCAGGUGGGAAGGAUGGGAGAGGGGCAGGACGGACAUUUCCUGGCUGGAAAUAAGGAGAAUGAAAUCUGCUUAUUUUAAUCGGUGGUGAUGAUUUGUGAGAUCUAAUCCCGUAAAAAACAUGUUCAUUUCCACUUCUCAUUUCAUUUUUGUUGUUUUCACCUUUCUGUUCAUGUUCAAAAUAUUCAUUUUCAGCUCCAGAAGCCACUUAGGGCUGAAAUAAACACUCCCCAUAAAGGUCUUUCUGCAA